UACGUAGGUGGCAAGCGUUGUCCGGAAUUAUUGGGCGUAAAGCGCGCGCAGGUGGUUUCUUAAGUCUGAUGUGAAAGCCCACGGCUCAACCGUGGAGGGUCAUUGGAAACUGGGAGGCUUGAGUGCAGAAGAGGAUAGUGGAAUUCCAAGUGUAGCGGUGAAAUGCGUAGAGAUUUGGAGGAACACCAGUGGCGAAGGCGACUAUCUGGUCUGUAACUGACACUGAGGCGCGAAAGCGUGGGGAGCAAACAGG
rnacentral:rRNA from 1 species